rnacentral:misc_RNA from 1 species
GCUGUAAAGUCUGGAGUUAGUCCUAAUCAAUCUUGAGUUUUACGUCCUAAUCAGAGCCAAUUGUACCCACCCAAAAAAAAAAAAAAAAAAAAAAUACAUGAUUUGGGGAGAACAGAAAAAAAGAAUAAAUUAUGACACGAUCCACACUCCAGGUAGGCAUUGUACAUGGAUACACAAAUAAUCACGUACCGAUGCUAUGUGAAACACAAAUUUAGUGAAUACUUAUCUCCUUAGAGAGAGGAUAUGUACAUUUGUUGAAGUUGUUACUGCUGAAUUUUGGCAGCAGACUGGAGACCUGAUUGAACUUUGCUUUCAAAAUGGUUUUCCAGCCUGGUUGCACAUUUAAAAUAAAUGGUAUCAGGUGAGUUAUAUGUGCGCGCAUUGGCAAACAUCCUCUUCACAUCAGCAACAAACAUAUCAAAGGUUACAUAGUAUUGCUCUGACUCUACCCUUUUUGACAUUGU